GAUGAACGCUGGCGGCGUGCCUAAUACAUGCAAGUCGAGCGAACAGAUGAGGAGCUUGCUCCUCUGACGUUAGCGGCGGACGGGUGAGUAACACGUGGAUAACCUACCUAUAAGACUGGGAUAACUUCGGGAAACCGGAGCUAAUACCGGAUAAUCUAUUGAACCGCAUGGUUCAAUAGUGAAAGACGGUUUUGCUGUCACUUAUAGCUGGAUCCGCGCCGCAUUAGCUAGUUGGUAAGGUAACGGCUUACCACGGCAACGAUGCGUAGCCGACCUGAGAGGGUGAUCGGCCACACUGGAAGUGAGACACGGUCCAGACGCCUACGGGAGGCAGCAGUAGGGAAUCUUCCGCAAUGGGCGAAAGCCUGACGGAGCAACGCGGCGUGAGUGAUGAAGGUCUUCGGAGCGUAAAACUCUGUUAUUAGGGAAGAACAAAUGUGUAAGUAACUGUGCACGUCUUGACGGUACCUAAUCAGAAAGCCACGGCUAACUACGUG
rnacentral:rRNA from 1 species